ACUAAACUCGUUUUUACCAUUACAAAACUUGGUUUUUUAUUUAAGAACACCGUACAGCAUAUUGGGUGUGUCUAAUUUAAAACAUACGUGUCAGACCCGAAGCCUCAUUACUUUAAUGGUCACGUGGGUCUGUGUACUUACGUUAAGGACAAAGUAGUCCCUUGAUUAUUUAUCUAUAAAUUGUUUGUAGGUAAAGUUAAAUGGACCGUAAUGAAAUUAUGAUAUUUUCUCAUGUAUGUUUUAUUGUUCUAUCCUAAACUUGAUUAUUAUACUUAGUUCAGAAGGAUGUGCAUUCAUGCUCGAAAAGUAGUCCUUACGAAUGCGCGCUAUGUCAGGCAAGGCCCUGAUGGGUAUUUUAUAUAGCGGACAUUCGUUCACUUGUUUUAAGCGAUGCUGGUCUGUCUCCAUUUACUCCGACACGCUUAAGUUUUGCCGUCAAUGUAGCCUGUUUGUGUUGCACCAUUUAAACAGCCGCUGAGGCGUAAGUUGAGGUUACUGAGGUUACAAACUACGCUACAAAGCUACAAUUGACGAUGACGUAUGAUUUUUUCUUACCCGUGUGACAUUUAGUCUAGGGUGAGUUGCGUAGGAUUAUUUAUGUUGUGUAUGCAAUUUAUUGUAGUUAAGACUAUUUGAUAUCUAUACAUGCAUUUACAGAUAAUAUUGAAUACUAUGUAUUUUAUUUCUCGGUUUCUUAAUUGCAUUUCAAUGUAUAUGAACUGAACUGAACUGUACUGCAUUUUGUCUACAGAAAUUUAAUCCAAAUGAUGACUUGCAUGAUUUAAUUAUGUGAUUAUUGUACUUAUGAUGCUUUUGUUUUAUUUUUCUGUACAAUGCAGGGAUUUCCGUUUUCCGUUUUUAUUUAUAAACGAAAUAAACUUCAUUUGCACUUCA